rnacentral:rRNA from 1 species
AGAGUUUGAUCUUGGCUCAGGACGAACGCUGGCGGCGUGCCUGAUACAUGCAAGUAGAACGCUGAAGACUGGUGCUUGCACUAGUCAGAUGAGUUGCGAACGGGUGAGUAACGCGUAGGUAACCUACCUCAUAGCGGGGGAUAACUAUUGGACAACGAUAGCUAAUACCGCAUGACAAUUAAGUACUCAUGUACUAAAUUUAAAAGGAGCAAUUGCUUCACUAUGAGAUGGACCUGCGUUGUAUUAGCUAGUUGGUGAGGUAACGGCUCACCAAGGCCACGAUACAUAGCCGACCUGAGAGGGUGAUCGGCCACACUGGGACUGAGACACGGCCCAGACUCCUACGGGAGGCAGCAGUAGGGAAUCUUCGGCAAUGGGGGCAACCCUGACCGAGCAACGCCGCGUGAGUGAAGAAGGUUUUCGGAUCGUAAAGCUCUGUUGUUAGAGAAGAACGGUAAUGGGAGUGGAAGAAUCCAUUACGUGACGGUAACUAACCAGAAAGGGACGGCUAACUACGUGCCAGCAGCCGCGGUAAUACGUAGGUCUCGAGCGUUGUCCGGAUUUAUUGGGCGUAAAGCGAGCGCAGGCGGUUAUUUAAGUCUGAAGUUAAAGGCCGUGGCUCAACCAUGGUUCGCUUUGGAAACUGGAUAACUUGAGUGCAGAAGGGGAGAGUGGAAUUCCAUGUGUAGCGGUGAAAUGCGUAGAUAUAUGGAGGAACACCGGUGGCGAAAGCGGCUCUCUGGUCUGUAACUGACGCUGAGGCUCGAAAGCGUGGGGAGCAAACAGGAUUAGAUACCCUGGUAGUCCACGCCGUAAACGAUGAGUGCUAGGUGUUAGGCCCUUUCCGGGGCUUAGUGCCGCAGCU